rnacentral:rRNA from 1 species
CCUACGGGAGGCAGCAGUGGGGAAUAUUGGACAAUGGGGGGAACCCUGAUCCAGCGACGCCGCGUGAGUGAAGAAGUAUUUCGGUAUGUAAAGCUCUAUCAGCAGGGAAGAAAGAAAUGACGGUACCUGACUAAGAAGCCCCGGCUAACUACGUGCCAGCAGCCGCGGUAAUACGUAGGGGGCAAGCGUUAUCCGGAUUUACUGGGUGUAAAGGGAGCGUAGACGGCGAUGCAAGUCUGAAGUGAAAGGCGGGGGCCCAACACCCGUACUGCUUGGGAAACGGGAUGGCUGGAGUGCAGGAGAGGUAAGUGGAAUGCUUAGUGUAGCGGUGAAAUGCGGAGAUAUUAGGAGGAACACCGGUGGCGAAGGCGGCUUACGGGACUGUAACUGACGUUGAGGCUCGAAAGCGUGGGGAGCAAACAGGAGUAGAUACCCUUGUAGUC